rnacentral:rRNA from 1 species
CAGUAGCCGCGGUAAUACGUAGGUGGCAAGCGUUGUCCGGAAUUAUUGGGCGUAAAGGGCUCACAGGCGGUUUCUUAAGUCUGAUGUGAAAGCCCCCGGCUCAACCGGGGAGGGUCAUUGGAAACUGGGAAACUUGAGUGCGGAAGAGGAGAGUGGAAUUCCACGUGUAGCGGUGAAAUGCGUAGAGAUGUGGAGGAACACCAGUGGCGGAGGCGACUCUCUGGUCUGUAACUGACGCUGAGGAGCGAAAGCGUGGGGAGCGAACAGGAUUAGAGACCCCCGUAGUCCCUGUCUCUUAUAC